rnacentral:snRNA from 1 species
ACUCGUCCAUUCCACGAAUGUACACAGGAACUUGAAAGAUAAGAGAAGAUUAACAUGGACUCUGCACAGGGAUGAAAUGUAAAUUUGUGAAGGGCUCCAAAAUUCU